AAGAAAAACUUGAAGAACCAGAGGUUGAGGAGAAACAUGAAAAACCAGCAGCUGAAGAGAAACCUAGAGAACUAGUAGUUGAAGAAAAAGCUGAAGAACCAACACCGGAAGAACUAGAAUUUGAAGAGAAACCUGAAGAACCAACUGCUGAAGAAAUACCUGAACAAUUAGUAGUUGAAGAGAAAUCUGAAAAACCAGAGGUUAAAGAGGAGAAGUCUGAAAAGGUAACUCUCUUGGAAAAAGUGAGGAUCAAGCACUAUCACAAAGUUUAUCCAUCCUAUUAGUUCUGUAUGUGCAAAGAUUCGUAUCUACUUAUCAAUUGAAAGAUUAAGUGAAACUUUAAAUUCUUCUUGCAGAAUAUGUCAGUUGUAGAUUUCAAUGAGAAGACUGACAGUGAAAUUCCAUGCAAUACCAACAAUGAUGUUGCCGACUAUGUAUCAGUUGAGGCAAACCUUGAAGAACCGGUAGUUGAAGAAAAACCUGAAGAAACAACGGUUGAGAAGAAACCUGAAGAACCAUCAAUUGAGGAGAAACGUGAAACACCAGCAUUUGAGAAGAAACCUGAAGAACCAAUAAUUGAGGAGAAACCUGAAGAACAAACAAUUGAAGAGGAGAAACAUGAAAGGAUAACUCUCCUGGAAAAGGUGAGGAUCAAGCAUUGUCACAAAGUUUAUCCAUCUUGUUAGUCGUGUAUACGAUACAAUUUACAUAUGCUUACCUACUGAAAGACUAAGUAAGACUUUAAAGUUCUUCUUGCAGAGUAUUCCAGUUGUAGUCCCGAACGACAAAACUGAAAGUAAAACUCCAAGCAUUACAAACAAUAAUGCUGCUCACUUUUCAGAAGUUGAGGAAAACCCUGAAGAACCUGCAGUAAAAGAAAAAACUGAAAAACCAGUUCUUGAAGAGAAACCUGAAGAACCAACAGUUGAAGAGAAAUCUGAAGAACCAGUUGAGGAGAAACCUGAAGAACCAACAGCUGAAGAGAAACCUGAAGAACCAGCAACUAAAGAAAAACAAGUGCUAGUAGGGGAGGAAACAGCUGAAGAACUAGCGCUUGAAGAGAAACCUGAAGAACUAACGAUUGAACAGACAGAUGAAGAACU
rnacentral:lncRNA from 1 species